rnacentral:rRNA from 1 species
CCCUUAGACGUUCUGGGCCGCACGCGCGCUACACUGACCAGUGCAACAAGCAUCCGUCCUUGGCCGACAGGCCCGGGCAAUCUUUGAACGCUGGUCGUGAUGGGGAUAGCCUUUUGCAAUUUUUGGUCUUCAACGAGGAAUUCCUAGUAAACGCAAGUCAUCAACUUGCAUUGAUUACGUCCCUGCCCUUUGUACACACCGCCCGUCGCACCUACCGAUUGAAUGGUCCGGUGAAGCCUCCGGAUUGGCGCGCACCUCGGUGCCGCCGAGAAGUUGGCUAAACCUUACCAUUUAGAGGAAGGUGAAGUCGUAACA